rnacentral:misc_RNA from 1 species
CGCGUUCGCGAGCGCGAGAGCAUGGUGAGAGCAUCGAAGAUCACUCCGUUGGGUCAUGGUUAAAGCUGUGGAGGUUAUCCAGCAAAUGGCAUCCUUCCUUCAUGAUAGCAUACAGGCAGAAUUGCUGAAGCAUGUCAAAUCUGCUUACCAGACUAGCCAAACAUUACCAGAUGAUCUCCUUUCAGCUCUACAUUUUGUCUACAAGGCUCCCCUGCUGCAGGCCUUAGACCUGGUAGACAACAAGAGUGUAACAAAGCUAACAUGCCCCGCUGGUCGCAUAGCUUUCCAGGUUCUUGGGAGCUCAGGCAUUCCAUACAUCUGCCUUCCAUCGUCCAACUUUUGCAGCUGUCAGUACUACUCAUUCACAGUUCUGAAGAGAAGCGAUGUUGAUCUGUGCAAGCAUGCCCUGGCUGUCCUCCUCAGCUGUGCUAUGGGGUCGUGUCAGGAACAGCAUGUCUCCAAUGAUCGCAUGGCCCAAACUCUGACCCCAGGCCAUUUGGAACUUGGAGAGGAACCACCACACCACAGCCACCAACCAUGAUGUGGCGCGAGAGGACCCAAGAGCAAAUCCAACUCCAAAGAGGAUUGUCGUCGCAGUCUGGGAAUGGAAAGGAGCUGCACAUGUUGGCUUAUUAGAGAACCCUGAUUAAGACGUCAAGACGGAUCAAGAUCACUGUUGUUAGCUUUAUGUGAAAAACACUGUCUACUACAAAUGCAGCAUGUUUGUAAUCAUUACUGCAUAAUUUUUUACAGUUUUUAUACAUCAGAACAAAACUGUACACAAGAACUUUUCUGGUCGAUAUUUCUUGGUCAAGAUGUUAAUUGUCUUCAAGUGAAGUUUCAUCUUAAGUCUUGUCCCCUACAUGUACAUGUUCAUUUAAGGUAUUAUUUCUAGGUUGCCAUCUUUGUAGUCAUCGAUUAACUCAUAAGUGUAUACAGCAUCGUCAUCAUAGUAGACAAUGUUGAACCAAUGUGGGAAGCUUGCCACUUGGCUGACGACUUUGCCUGUGUAGGGAAACCUUUGCCCAUCCGAAAUGAAAAAGUGAUUAACAA